GACGAACGCUGGCGGCGUGCCUAACACAUGCAAGUCGAACGGAGUAAAGACUUCGGUUUUUACUUAGUGGCGAACGGGUGAGUAACGCGUGAGAAACCUGCCUUUCAGUGGGGGACAACAGUUGGAAACGACUGCUAAUACCGCAUAAUGUUAUCGAGCGGCAUCGCUUGAUAACCAAAGCUUUAUGUGCUGAAAGAUGGUCUCGCGUCUGAUUAGCUAGUUGGUGAGGUAACGGCUCACCAAGGCGACGAUCAGUAGCCGGUCUGAGAGGAUGAACGGCCACAUUGGGACUGGGAUACGGCCCAGACUCCUACGGGAGGCAGCAGUGGGGAAUAUUGGGCAAUGGGCGAAAGCCUGACCCAGCAACGCCGCGUGAAGGAAGAAGGCCUUCGGGUUGUAAACUUCUUUUACCUACGGACGAAGGACGUGACGGUACCUGGAG
rnacentral:rRNA from 1 species